UGGAGGGGACACUUACAGUGGAGCUAAGUUCCCAGUGUUGUCAAUAGUGGAACGAGGAUACCAUCUAUGUCUGUCUCAAAAGCCCAUGCUUUUAAACCUUAUGCU